GACGAACGCUGGCGGCGUGCUUAACACAUGCAGGUCGAACGGAAAGGCCCUGCUUUUGUGGGGUGCUCGAGUGGCGAACGGGUGAGUAACACGUGAGUAACCUGUCCUUGACUUUGGGAUAACUUCAGGAAACUGGGGCUAAUACCGGAUAGGAGCUCCUGCUGCAUGGUGGGGGUUGGAAAGUUUCGGCGGUUGGGGAUGGACUCGCGGCUUAUCAGCUUGUUGGUGGGGUAGUGGCUUACCAAGGCUUUGACGGGUAGCCGGCCUGAGAGGGUGACCGGCCACAUUGGGACUGAGAUACGGCCCAGACUCCUACGGGAGGCAGCAGUGGGGAAUAUUGCACAAUGGGCGGAAGCCUGAUGCAGCAACGCCGCGUGCGGGAUGACGGCCUUCGGGUUGUAAACCGCUUUCGCCUGUGACGAAGCGUGAGUGACGGUAAUGGGUAAAGAAGCACCGGCUAACUACGUG
rnacentral:rRNA from 1 species